rnacentral:rRNA from 1 species
AANAUGUCCUGUAGUGGGGGAUAGCCCGGCGAAAGCCGGAUUAAUACCGCAUACGAUCUGAGGAUGAAAGCGGGGGACCUUCGGGCCUCGCGCUAUAGGGUUGGCCGAUGGCUGAUUAGCUAGUUGGUGGGGUAAAGGCCUACCAAGGCGACGAUCAGUAGCUGGUCUGAGAGGACGACCAGCCACACUGGGACUGAGACACGGCCCAGACUCCUACGGGAGGCAGCAGUGGGGAAUUUUGGACAAUGGGCGAAAGCCUGAUCCAGCAAUGCCGCGUGUGUGAAGAAGGCCUUCGGGUUGUAAAGCACUUUUGUCCGGAAAGAAAUCCUUGGUUCUAAUAUAGCCGGGGGAUGACGGUACCGGAAGAAUAAGCACCGGCUAACUACGUGCCAGCAGCCGCGGUAAUACGUAGGGUGCAAGCGUUAAUCGNAAUUACUGGGCGUAAAGCGUGCGCAGGCGGUUUGCUAANACCGAUGUGAAAUCCCCGGGCUCAACCUGGGAACUGCNUUGGUGACUGGCANGCUAGAGUAUGGNAGAGGGGGGUAGAAUU